rnacentral:rRNA from 1 species
CCUACGGUAGGCAGCAGUGAGGAAUAUUGGUCAAUGGCCGCAAGGCUGAACCAGCCAUGUAGCGUGAGGGAAGACUGCCCUAUGGGUUGUAAACCUCUUUUAUGCGGGGAUAAAGGUGUGCACGUGUGGAUGUUUGCAGGUAUCGCAUGAAUAAGGACCGUCUCAUUCCGUGCCAGCAGCGGCGGUAAUACGGAAGGUCCGGUCGUUAUCCGGCUUUAUUGGGUUUAAAGGGAGCGUAGGCUGGUCUUUAAGCGUGCCGUGAAAUUUUGUGGCUCAACCAUGAGAGUGCGGCGCGAACUGGAGACCUAGAGAGCGCGGAAGGCAGGCGGAAUUCGUGGUGUAGCGGUGAAAUGCUUAGAUAUAACGAAGAA